AGCUUGAAGACACCACUCCUCUUCAGGAAAACUCUAGCAGUUUCCUGUAUUGCCCUCUCUGCAUUCUUCACAUCUCUGCAUCCAUCCAUCAUGUCGGUCUAUGUUCACUCAUCAACCAGUUCAGUUCCCAGGACUGUGACCUCAAAGUCCAUUAUCACCAAGACUCGGGGUAGUUCGAUGGCCUCUCCGCAGAAAGCCUACAGCGUCUAUGGAGGUAGUCUGGGAGGAACCACCCGCAUCUCUUCCUACAGAGUUGGUGGUGGUGGAGGAUAUGGUGGAGGAUACGGUUUUGGUGGAGGACACAGAGGAGGAUACGGCGCUGGAAACUUUGUUGGAGGCGACAGUGACUUGGUCAGGCUGAAUGAGAAGGCCACCAUGCAGAACCUGAAUGACCGUCUGGCAUCCUACCUGGAGAAGGUGCGCUCGCUGGAGGCUGCCAAUGCCACUUUGGAGAGGCAGAUCCGUGAGUACUAUGAGAAGAAGGGGCCGAUCGCACAGAGAGACUACAGCCCCUACUGGAACACCAUCAAUGACCUGAAGGACAAGAUUAAAAAUGCUACCAUCAACAAUGCCAGCAUCCUCCUGCAGUUCGACAACUCUAAACUGGCUGCCGAUGACUUCAGGAUAAAAUACGAGCACGAAUUGGUGAUGCGUCAGACUGUGGAGGACGACGUUGCUAACCUGCGCUACUUGGUGGACAAGACAACCCUGACAAAGACCGACCUGGAGAUGCAGAUUGAGAAUCUGCAGGAUGAGCUGGCGUUUAUGAAGAAGAACCACCAGGAAGACUUGGCUGCACUGAGGUCACAGCUGACAGGUAAAGUGAACGUAGAGGUUGAUGCUGCUCCUCAGCAAGACCUGAACAGAGUUCUGGAGGAGAUUCGUGCUCAUUACGAGAACAUCAUACAGAAACACAGCAGGGAACAGGAAGUUUGGUUUAAAGACAAGACGACAGUGUUGAACAAAGAAGUGUCCAUCAGCACAGAGACCAUACAAACAACCAAGACACAGAUCACAGAUCUACGACACACCUUACAGAGUCUGGAGAUCGAGCUACAGUCUCAACUCAGCAUGAAAGCGGCACUGGAGAACUCACUGGCAGACACAGAGGCUAGGUACAGCGCUAUGCUAGCAGGCUACCAGAACCAAAUCGACACGCUGGAGGCCGAGCUUAGUCAUAUGCGGGCUAGCAUUGAGCAACAGGGACGUGAUUAUGCCUUAUUGUUGGACAUCAAGAGCCGCCUGGAGCAGGAGAUCGCCACCUACAGGAGCCUCCUGGAAAAUUAGGAGUAAGUCGGUUUCUUUCAUUUACAGGGUUGCCAACUCUCUUAUGCGUGAGAGUUGGCAACCCUGCAUUUAUCAGAGUUAUUGUUUGUCAAAAGCAGUGGUGCAAUGUUCAUGUGACAUUAUUCUGGAAUGAUUUUACUAAUGCAUCUUUUCUUUUCCUUUAUUCAGGACUCAAAUACCAGGUAAUUAAAGUAUUUCAGUGAAUGCUGUAAAGUGUUUUUGCAUUACUGAUUCUCUCUCUCUCUGUCUGCUUCAGGUGGAACUGUCACCAUCAGCCAAGGUGGACCAACAACAACAACAAUCCACAAGACACAGCAUACCUUCUAAAUGCUAAAUGCACAUCACACUGCUUUAUGAGACAACACACAUACAUGUGGUUUUGAAUGCAUACUGAGAACAAGUGUAACUAAAAGAUAAACAAAUGACACUCUUAUUUGUGUGUGAUAAAACCUGUCUCUGACAAUAAAGCUGCUUUUGUGAAUUA